GACGAACGCUUGCGGCGUGCUUAACACAUGCAAGUCGAACGGAAAGGCCCUGCUUUUGUGGGGUGCUCGAGUGGCGAACGGGUGAGUAACACGUGAGUAACCUGCCCUUGACUUUGGGAUAACUUCAGGAAACUGGGGCUAAUACCAGAUAGGAGCUCCUGCUGCAUGGUGGGGGUUGGAAAGUUUCGGCGGUUGGGGAUGGACUCGCGGCUUAUCAGCUUGUUGGUGGGGUAGUGGCUUACCAAGGCUUUGACGGGUAGCCGGCCUGAGAGGGUGACCGGCCACAUUGGGACUGAGAUACGGCCCAGACUCCUACGGGAGGCAGCAGUGGGGAACAUUGCACAAUGGGCGGAAGCCUGAUGCAGCAACGCCGCGUGCGGGAUGACGGCCUUCGGGUUGUAAACCGCUUUCGCCUGUGACGAAGCGUGAGUGACGGUAAUGGGUAAAGAAGCACCGGCUAACUACGUGCCAGCAGCCGCGGUGAUACGUAGGGUGCGAGCGUUGUCCGGAUUUAUUGGGCGUAAAGGGCUCGUAGGUGGUUGAUCGCGUCGGAAGUGUAAUCUUGGGGCUUAACCCUGAGCGUGCUUUCGAUACGGGUUGACUUGAGGAAGGUAGGGGAGAAUGGAAUUCCUGGUGGAGCGGUGGAAUGCGCAGAUAUCAGGAGGAACACCAGUGGCGAAGGCGGUUCUCUGGGCCUUUCCUGACGCUGAGGAGCGAAAGCGUGGGGAGCGAACAGGCCUAGAUACCCUGGUAGUCCACGCUGUAAACGGUGGGUACUAGGUGUGGGGUCCAUUCCACGGGUUCCGUGCCGUAGCUAACGCUUUAAGUACCCCGCCUGGGGAGUACGGCCGCAAGGCUAAAACUCAAAGGAAUUGACGGGGCCCCGCACAAGCGGCGGAGCAUGCGGAUUAAUUCGAUGCAACGCGUAGAACCUUACCUGGGUUUGACAUGGAUCGGGAGUGCUCAGAGAUGGGUGUGCCUCUUUUGGGGUCGGUUCACAGGUGGUGCAUGGCUGUCGUCAGCUCGUGUCGUGAGACGUUGGGUUAAGUCCCGCAACGAGCGCAACCCUUGUUCACUGUUGCCAGCACGUUAUGGUGGGGACUCAGUGGAGACCGCCGGGGUCAACUCGGAGGAAGGUGGGGAUGACGUCAAGUCAUCAUGCCCCUUAUGUCCAGGGCUUCACGCAUGCUACAAUGGCUGGUACAGAGAGUGGCGAGCCUGUGAGGGUGAGCGAAUCUCGGAAAGCCGGUCUCAGUUCGGAUUGGGGUCUGCAACUCGACCUCAUGAAGUCGGAGUCGCUAGUAAUCGCAGAUCAGCAACGCUGCGGUGAAUACGUUCCCGGGGCU
rnacentral:rRNA from 1 species